UGUCAUGAUGAUUUUUGCAGACUAGAGUCUCUGACUUACUCUGAUGUCCUUUCACUGCACUGAACA